UGAACGCUGGCGGCGUGCCUAACACAUGCAAGUCGAACGAUGAUGGAGAGCUUGCUCUCCUGAUUAGUGGCGCACGGGUGAGUAUACCAUAGAUAAUGUACCUCUUAGUUUGGGAUAGCCACUGGAAACGGUGAUUAAUACCAGAUACUCCUUCUCGUUAUAAGACGAGUCGGGAAAGUUUUUUCGCUUCGAGAUCAGACUAUAUCCUAUCAGUUAGUUGGUGAGGUAAUGGCUCACCAAGGCAAUGACGGGUAGCGGUUCUGAGAGGAUGAUCCGCCACACUGGUACUGAGACACGGACCAGACUCCUACGGGAGGCAGCAGUGAGGAAUAUUGCACAAUGGAGGAAACUCUGAUGCAGCAACGCCGCGUGGAGGAUGACGCAUUUCGGUGUGUAAACUCCUUUUAAGAGGGAAGAUAAUGACGGUACCUCUUGAAUAAGCACCGGCUAACUCCGUG
rnacentral:rRNA from 1 species